GUCUGCAAAACUAAAAGGGGGGGUCGCGAGUCUGCAGAAUAGAAAGGCAGAAAUUCUUAUUUUAAAAACUGAAGCCUUUCUCUGUCCAAAAAAAAACUGAUGCCUUUCAGAGUGCUUAUAUAUUGAGUGCUCUGAAAGGUUAGAGGUGCGCUCUUUCUUUGAGCGCUCCCAAAGGUAAUACUAAUUGUUUUUAUUUUUUUUUAAUAUCAUUUCAGAGUGCUCCAGAUUUGAGCGCUCUCAAAUGCAUAAUAUUUAGGAGCGCUCUACCUCAAGCGCUCCUAAUUGUCAGCCUCUAUUUUUUUUAUAUUUUUUAAAUUUUAUUUUGAAGUUCUUUUCUUUUGAGUGCUUCGAAAUGUUAGACUAAUUUUUUUUUUUUUAAAUUUCAAUUCAAUUUUGGAAAACUCAAUGAAAGAGCGCUCUGAAACGUUACACUUUUAGGAAUGCUCUUAGAGGCAUAUAAUAAAUUUUUUUGUUAUUAAUUAUUUUCAAUUGGAAGUACUCUUUUAUAGAUCACUCCUAAACAUAAGACUCUUGAAAAUUUAGGAGCGCUUACUGAAAAAAGCAUUCCGGUAGGUUCCGUCUCUAAUUUUUGUAGUGCUUUUUCCCUAAGCGCUCCGAAAUACGCAGUCUCAAAGUUUUUUGUAUUAGUAAGAGUUUUCUAUUAUGAAAUGUGAUCCUAAAUACUUAAGAAAAGUGUGUAAUAAAUAUCACCUAUCACAUUGCUCCUAGUUUUCAUGCUUCAUAUCUUGAAGUUAUGAUCGAAGUAUUCACAGCUUGCCUAGAAAGAAUUAAAUCAAAGUUCAACAAACUUCUUGAAGGAGCAGAAGGCAAUAAUGAACAGAAGUUAAUUGAAUUUUUCAACAUAAGACCUGGAAUUUUGUGAGUUCUUGAAAGAGCAUGACAAGGAACUUCUACAAUUUGCUGAUGAUGACAAUAUUGAUCUCUUGAUCUCUAAAGAGGAAAGUAAGGAGGCGGAUGAAAACUCAAGAAAGAGAUCAAAUGCAGUGAAAACUUUUUGAGGAGAUGCAACAUUUCAAGUGAGUAGCAGUUGAGGCAAUGGUGCAGGUUGCUAUUUUUCGUUUUGUGUUGGUGUUCAGUAUUUGGUCGGCAACAAUUGUAGCUGACUCUAAUGUGUAUGGUGUGUUCCCAAAUUCAUUGGGCUGUUGUUAAGAAGAGCUGAUCAUUAAGUAAUAUUUUUGUCCUCCCUAAAUUGUGACUAUACUUUGCCCCCACGCAAAUGAGAUGGUCAGUCAUUUUACUUUUAGAUAUUAUCAGUAGCUGUAACUUUUUAUCUCAUUUGUGUGAUUUAUUGUGCUUCUUGAGAGAUUUAUUAUCAUUCCUUGGCCCUAUCAAUUUUGUGCAUAUGAGUUGAAUUUAAGAAUUCUUACUAUAGAAGAAUAAGCCAUGUUUGUUCAGUUAUCAUAUCUUUUGGAUAGAAGUUGAAUUCAUCAACUAAUGAUAUAUAUUGAGUAACUGAACUUAGAAGUUUAAAUGCUUAUUUGGAAUGAGAGAUGAUGCCAUCAACUAAUGUUUCUUGCAGCAUUCUCAAUUGUUAAUAUAUCAAAGGUUUUUGUAUAGCAUCUUUGACAGUAAAUUUGUUGUAAGGAAAAUUUUCCCUCUUGUACACUGUUAGAAAAAAUUAUUUGCACUUUUAUACAGUUCUUGGACUAGCUAUAUUUGAAUUGCAAAUGUUAGACAUUCAAAUAAAGUGGUCGCAAUAAAGUUCCUAGAUCGGUUAAUGGAAGUUGGAGAAUGAUAAUUUCUUGGAUAGAUUUAGUUAGGAAAGACCUAAGAGAGUCAUUCUUAGAGUGAAUAUUGACAUGAUCUGAAUCUUUUUUGGAUGAUAUAAUUCUCUUUGUUCUCCACAACAUUUUCUUGAUUAUCACAUUGGUAGCAUGUAGAUUUGGUGCAUCUCACUCUCUUGCUUGAAUAACUUUGUUUAACUUAAUUUCAGGAGUUGUGAAGCACUCUUAAUUGUAUUGGUAUGAGAGGGUUCCUUCAAAAGUUCUGACUUACCAAGCCACUGAUGAUCCAGUCUAUAGUGGCUACAUAUAUGCUAUUGAAUCUACAAGCUAAGAGGAUACAUUGCUAUCAUCAAUUUCAUUUUUAUACCAAUUUUAUCAAUAAAUAAUUAUAUCAAUUCUUUUUUUGACUCACUAUUGCAUUUUAUUUAACCUAAGUUGUUACAUGUUGAAGAUGGGAUUUGCUAUCUGGGGGCCACCUGAUGGGCAUUACAAGAUGCUUAGAUAUUUGAAGAAUUAUGUGAAAGUUAGUGAAAGAAUCAAAGAGGAAGAAUUAUGCUGUUUGGAGCCACCUCACUGUCAUUACAAUAUACUUAGAUUUUGGAAUAAUUAUGUGAAAGUUAGUAGAAGAAUCAAAGAGGAAGAAUUAUGUGUCUGGGGUUUGCUGUCUUGGAGCCUCCUUACGGUCGUUGCAAGAAUUAUGCUCGUAUAUCCUUUAAAAAGAUGUAGUGACAAAAGAGGAAGAAUCAAGCACCUAUGAAAGGAUCAACCUUCCUACUUCAUGGAGGAUCAACCUUCGUUAUAAAGCCUACAACAUCCCCUCCCCUUGAAUUUUACAUUUUGAUUUAUACAGUAGACUAUAAUUAAAAUAUUUCAAAUUUCCUAUGAACUUUGCUUAUGUGAUGAUUCAAAUGUUAGGGCUUCCGAAGAUGAUAUGGUUACGUGUUUUUUUUUUUUAAA